AUUCCCUUCGACAUUAAAUUUAAUAAUCAUUACUUUCCCGGUCGGGAUUUACCCUAGUGGGCAUGUGUCGAUUUUUCUUUUUGCUAAAUCAAAACCGAAUGCCUUUUAUUUGUUUUGCCCUCUUUUUGUUUAUGGCAUUAAUCAUUUAGUCACAAGGAUUCACACGCUUUCGAGUUUUGACGUUCUGUGAUUCCGAUUGCAUCCUUCACCAUUUGAAAGAGCGCUAAAAUAAAUAGUUCAUGAACAACUUAAAGAUAUGCACAGCUGCAGCGAGAUUACGCAAGUUGGUAUCUCUAGGUGAACGUGAUAUUUACGACUGCCAAGUAUGCGAAAGUGAAAUCGUAAAUUAGUUAACAGCCAAAUAACAAUAAAGGGUGGACAUGAAUUUUAACCAAAAGAAGACCACAGUGAACACCUCAUUUCUCUGCGUAAACAUCAGUACAUGACUCGACAUCUGUCUUCUCUUUUUUGUUUUCGGUUUUGGUUCUUUAAAUUCCCUCUUCAACUCAGUUGGUCAUCAGAUAUGCAUGACAUUCUUUACUCUCUAAAAUGACAUGUUCUCAAAUAUGUUUCACAAAUGGGCCUUUUGUGGUUACUUUCCCGAAUUACAUGCGUGUUUUCGUUGCUUUUCAUCGUAAAACAAUUUCCUAUCCAUCACAGAUAAUUGAAUUAAUUUUCGUCAGCGGAAUUUUUUGUUUUAAAGCUAACCCGUCCCCGUAUAGAGCCUAAGGUUGUUCGUUAUCCCUUCAAAAAUUGGGUUCGGCAACCCAAGUGUUACCUACCCACAUUACCGCCUCGAGGCGUCAAAGUGGGCAUGGCCGACCUCCUAUCCCUUUUACCAAGAUUUGGAAAGGUGUUUUGUAGAUUCACUUGAUUCACCGAAGCUUGCCUUAAGCUUCUAGUGUGGGAGGCGUCCAGUACACGAAUAAGGAUUCCUUUAUCCAUUUACAUCUACAGAUUGUUUGACAACACAAAAAUUCUUUUGUGACCUACAUCUAUAUGUGAGAACAAGGACCUACUGGAUGCAUCGAUUGUGAGUAUCUAAAAUCAAAACAAAAACUAGAGAAGCAAAUAAAAUUUUUUUCACGACAUAUUGGGAGAGAACUGGAUGUACAGAUGCCCUGUACAACUGCUGCUGCGAUUGCAAUCAACUGGAUAUCCAUCUUUCCAUCUGAGCAGCGUGCUGCAUUGAGAAAUAUUGCGGACCACUGUUAGUUGCUGUAGCUCAACCGCAGCAAUUUCUUAGUUUCAUACGCGAAAACAACCAAAAGUGCGAAGAAAAGAAACUAAACAGGGGCAAGGCUCUCAGGCAAGUGGAAAAUGAAGCGGUUCAAUCAUGUAUGUUUAAACCUGCCCUCUUUUAGGGACGCGGUGUUUAACAAACAAGAAGUUUAAGGAUGCUGCGUAACGAAAGAGAAGGUGCAAUGUCAUAUUUCAUCUUUUUCAUAAUAAAAGUGGAACGGGGCUUGCAUGGUACGUCUGAAUGAGGACCAAGCUUAAAGUAAACAAGAUGACAAUCCAAUUUGCAUACGUGCUGCUGGUACAAGAAAGUCGACUUUAGUCUACAAUGGAGCUGUGAAGAAUUCAUCUGUCUCUCCGAGGAUCCAGAACAUCUUAAUCAAAACUACACUUACUUGAAGUCGCACAUAUCUUUUAAAGCUUUGUGCAGUUGUGGAUGAUAGAACGCUGCUGAAAAUCACUGCUUUACAAAGAAAAUGUAGACAAUUGUGUUUGAAUAGUUCUCUUUUAAUAAUAACAAAAAGGAUAAUUGCAAUUUUUGCGAAUGUAAACAGAAAUAUUUACGAAAGGGGACAACUACUGUGGGAAAGUGAAGUACCGGAGUAUUCCGGUUAAGUAGCAUGCACCUCAAAGACUUAAACAGCAUCUUCAUUUCCUAUAGAUCCUCCAUACCCACCGGAUCCACCUCCUUGUGGUAAAUAAGGUGUCUGUAAAGGAACACUUGUUCGUGAUUGGAAUAAGGAACUGAUUCCAUCAGCUCCACCAGUAGUGUUACUGUCAUUACGUCCUGCAGUUACGAUUCUUUCGUGAUGAAUUUUCUGACGUUGCCCUAAUCAUACCGAUUUAGCAAUGUGGUGUAUUCUUGCUUGCGAUUGAACUAACCUUUCCCAUUUUCAUUUUCUUCUCCGUCAUAUGUUUUAAUGAAGUCGACUCCUGGUUCAAAAAGAUAAUCGUUUAGUUUUCACAAUUGGAUUGCCAAAUGUUGAAAACUCACCUCUGUCUUGUUUCGCGGUCUUGUUUGCUUCGACGCUGCAUUGAAUCAACAGUAAGAAGCAAACGAUCGAUAAUGUAAUCUGCAGAAAGACGGAAUACCGAAGACGGUGUUCAACUGCUGUUCAAUUCUUUGCGCAGCGGUUAUAAAUACAGCCAGGUGUUGCACCCAUUUUAAUAAAAAGGAAAAUUUGCCAACGUUCAUAUAUUACUCUUGAGCGUUAUUUUCUUUGUCACUUUUUUCUUCCCCCUAGGAUUUUUCUGCUGCGCUUAAUAACCCAAACAAAGGCAAUUAUUAAUGACGUGCAAUCUAUACCGCAACUUUCCAUUCGUUGUCUGCAGAAGAAAAAAGCAAAAAUAUCGGGGUUGUUACGUAUACGAUGCUGAUGCUUACCACUGUCCACUUCGUGUUCCAUUGAAGCGAACAAGGUAGACAAUAGACGGUCAUUAUCGUCUAAUUGAGAAAGUAGGCUAAACACAACUGAGGCAGUAGAUUCCUUGUUUUUGCUUUGCAUAAUUUGUUAACUCGCUGUAACAGUCAAGUGCGUAAGAGACUUGCACUAGCUACUUUUCACUUUCUAAUCGUGUCACGGUGAUCUGGUUUAAUCUCAUAAAAACAAAUAAUCUCAAUAAUUAGUUCACCAUUUGUAUUUGAUCUAUACAUUUCGAGCUAGUAAAUUGAUUAUCUCUAGUGUUCUUAGGAUGAAUGCAACUAAAAUCCCCUUCUUUCCACGUGAAAUCAUCAACAGGAAAACAUGCUAGCAGAAGAUUAGAUAAGAAAGUUAAAUGCUUCAGUAACCUCCUACAGCAUGAGAACUGCCAUAAGAGGAGACCGGAGCCUGAUGAUAAGACGGUGCAAUCGGAGCAGGAACGUAAGGGGCGCUUGCACCUCCACCGUAUCCGCUUGAAUGACCACCUCCGUAACCGCCUCCGUAAGAGGCAACUGGAGCCGGGUGAUAAUGGGUGACAGAUGCUGAUUGAUACGUUGGGAUUGGAGCUGAUGGAUGAACGUGAACGUAAACCGGUGCACCUGCUAAUGAAUGGAGACCUAUUACUCGGUUCACGCUUAUCAUUUUGGAACUAAUCUAAAGAGCAUAAGACUUUUUCAAUACCUGCGUGUGCUCCGUAUCCACCGGAUUGACCGAUUCCAUGACCUCCGUAAGAACCACCACCGCCUCCGUAACCUCCUCCUGAUAAUCCGUGGCUUCCACCAUAUCCUCCCCCGCCGUAAGAUGGAACGUGGACGGGAACAGGUUUGGGUGCUGGAACGUGAUAGAAAACUGGAUGAGGUGCAGGAACGAUAAUGACGUGCUGUUGUGCGGAGCCUCCGCCACCGUGUCCUCCGCCAUAACCUCCACCUCCAUAACCUCCUCCGUAGCUCAUUCCUCCUCCAUAUCCUCCGCCAUAUCCUCCACCUUUUUUCAAAGAAGUUAAACAAGUUUUAAGUUUAUUACUUUACAAAUGUGUGGUUAGAAAUGUCUUCAACCUUUUCCUUUGGUUGCAUCGAUCCCAUUAAUCAGCACCAGUCCAAACAGCAGAAAAUAUUUAAUCAAAUUCAUUUGAACCUGUUGGGAAUGGCACUAAAGUAUAACUAAUUUUUAUCAGUUUAUUCAAAGGAUGCUAACAUUUCUGUCUUACCUUGCAAGUUGGCUGUUCUCCUAACUAAGACUGAGGUGGGAGUUUAACUGUGCCUAAACGGUCAACGCUGUCCACUUUUAUACGCCGAAAAAUUCGGCUGCGUUCGGAAGUCAAAGACCGAGUCACCGGUUAAAGAAUAGAAACGAAAGUGACUCGUGAUAGACGCGUGAAAAAUCUGAAUUUUUUUUAACCAUUUGCGCUUAUUCUUCAAAAAGUCUUUCUUGUCCAGCGUAACGGCCCUCAAUAUCAUCGCCACGAUUUGUGUGACUCGCCCUUUCACAUUGUGUCUGACAGAGGGAAAAAACCGGACUCACCCAAUUUCCUUAAACCAUUUUCCAUUGUGAUUCUACGAAGAAAUAUCCUUACGUAACGUCACACAGAAGACGUUGUCAAAAGGAGUAUUGAAAAGUGAGAGUUAGUCUAGAAUCUGAGACGACUUUUCUAUAAGGACAAAAGGGUCGUUAAUGUCCCCAGGAUUAUAAGGACAAUGGUUAUGACAGUUAAUCCUAUUGGCUGCUUGAAAUUCAUGAAAACAAAACGAGGAGAAAAAAAAGCAGCCACAUUUGUGAUAGAAAAAGAAAGGUUGUCGCAAAAGAUUCACCCGAAACUAACCAUCUGAUGAUUGGCCAGGCUAGAGUCAGCCGUAAUAACUAAAGGGAAAAACCCUAUUCCCCAAUUUCCCAUUUGCAAACCAAACCACGAAUGACUCACUUUAAAAAAAGCUUUGGAUGUAUCUGUGGCCUAAAAAGACUUCAUUGCGUUGGUGUUAGCUCCAACGUCGUGAGCACGAAUCGCCGGCCAACAACCACAGACAAAUGUGUUUAAGACUUACGAAAGUAAAAGAGAUAGUCACUUUUACCAUCUUCUAUUCUUGGUAGAAAGAAAUUGAAUUGGGCAUGAGUUAACCUGAUAUUCGUGUCUAAAAGGGAUAGUAGUGAACCAACGUUUUCGUUUUACACGGUCGUAAUUGACUCUGUAUUAGUGACAUAAGGGCAAUUACAUCAAACAAGACGGUUAAGAAAACUAAAAAUUACAAACCACUUCAAGUGGUAGAUACACUAUGAAGAUUAUCUAAUUCCAAAAAUCUUCGGCAUUAGGAAAAUUACUGAGAAACGAAGGUGGUGCGUAAUCGCUUCCGGUCGAUUCUCCAUGUCCUGCGAAACCUCCGUAACCACCAUCCUGUGAUGAAUAAGAUUCCGCUGGAUGGCUGUAUUGCUGACUAACGUAUCCUUCGCCGCCCUUAUUGUGGCCUUUGUGGUGCCCUUUGUGAUGGCCCUUGUGAUGACCUUAUCAUAAACAUUUAGAAAUGAUCGUUAAAAUGUCUCAGAAAGGCGUAAAGAAUACGGGCAAGUUAACACAACACAGUCGAUUUCUGCAACAGAUUAAUGUUUUGUUGCAGGUGCUAACCUUUUCCGCCUUCUGCUCCGUAUCCUACACCUCCGUAUUCACCUCCACCAUAUUCACCUCCGCCUUUAUUAUGUCCUUUAUGAUGUCCCUUAUGAUGGCCCUUGUGAUGUCCUGUAUUAUGACCUAUAGUGAACAAUCAGGCGAAUUAAAUAACGGUCAACAGAUAAUGUUAUUCACUUGGCUUUUUGAGAGUUUAGUUGAUUACCUUUGUCAUCACCAUAAUUCAUUCCUCCGUGUUCUCCGCCGUAGCUUACUCCACUGUAGCCUCCCCCACUGUAGUCUCCCCCGCCAUAGUCUCCUCCACCAUAAUCUGAACCUGAUAAUAAACCGU